GACUAGUGGCGGACGGGUGAGUAACGCGUGGGUAACCUGCCUCAUACAGGGGGAUAACAGUUGGAAACGACUGCUAAGACCGCAUAACCCGCUAGUGUCGCAUGACACGGACGGAAAAUAUUAUAGGUAUGAGAUGGGCCCGCGUCUGAUUAGCUAGUUGGUAAGGUAACGGCUUACCAAGGCGACGAUCAGUAGCCGACUUGAGAGAGUGAUCGGCCACAUUGGGACUGAGGACACGGCCCAAACUCCUACGGGAGGCAGCAGUGGGGAAUAUUGGACAAUGGGGGAAACCCUGAUCCAGCGACGCCCGCGUGAGUGAAGAAGUAUUUCGGUAUGUAAAGCUCUAUCAGCAGGGAAGAUAAUGACAGUACCUGACUAAGAAGCCCCGGCUAACUACGUGCCAGCAGCUGC
rnacentral:rRNA from 1 species